UUUUACGUAUAGUGAAAAAUCCUUUUGAAUAAACGUCACAAAGUAUUUGGUUAAUUCUUUAGGAUUUGAGAUUAUAUAUGUGUGUUAGUGAAAGAAUAAAUUUUUUUUUUUUUGAACGUAGUGAAAGAAUAAAUUUAAAGCAUGUGACUUCUUCCUUUUAUUUUUUUAUUCUUUUAGUUUUUUUAAUUAUAAGAUGACAAAAAAAUGU
rnacentral:lncRNA from 1 species